rnacentral:rRNA from 1 species
CUCUUUAAUUGGGCCUCAGGUCAUUUAUUCAAUCUUUUUGCAAAGCAUAAAGACGGUCUUUUAUGCUCGCUGGUGCGGAGGGUGGGGUAGACCUAGGCGGCGGAGGUGCGGUGGCCGGCCGCAGGAGGCGGUGCGGUAGGUGGCGGCACGGCAGGAGGGGCGUGGCGCCGGACGGAGGAGAGGCGGCACGGGAGGAGGAGCGCGGCAGGCUCAGGAGGCGCGCGGCAAGCGGCUGCGGCUCCGGGUCCGGUCGGGCGAGGCCCGGGCGCGGCGGCUGCCGCUGCCCGACGAGUCGUGCGAAGAGCGACGGUACCCGUUGCUGGCCCUCCUCCUCCUCCUGCGCGUCCUCCGCCCCAUCGCAGUCUUAGUCGCGUGCAGCCUAGGUCGUACGACGAGGAGAGGGAAGGGUUCAGCGGGACCUAGAGCGCUACGACCUCCACCGGCGCCAGCAACGAUACCUCCCGAGCGGUGGGCGGAGGCCUCAGGGUGCAGGAGCUCUAGUUGCUCUAACGGUUCGGCUCCAGUAGUAGAGAGCUGCCCGAGGAGGUAGUGAAGACCAAAGUGUGUUACCGACACCCGACGGAGAGGGAGAGCUAGGACGCGAGGAGGAGGAGGCCAAGUCCAAAGUCCGGCACCGAAUACCAGCGGAGAGGUAUAGGUAGGAAGGUUAGACCUCGUGUCCACCUCUCGGACCGACACACACCGCCUCUACCGCGGGGCGUAGACGCGGGAUAUUCGGGUCUGUCUCGAGGCGGCUCCGGUACUGGAGGUGUCCUCCCCUCCGGCGUUCCGCCCUCUCGGUCGUCGCCGUAAGACAAACCCCUACGCACCUAGACCACUACGACCUCGUCCCCUUGUCCUUUGUAGUGUAGGCGUUGCCGCAAAGUUUAUCGGUUAAAUGGAAAGAGGGAUUUCUCCCUUGUAGCAGACUACCCUGUCGAGGACUUAGUUACAGUGUAUUCCGUUGUUGUAUGAACCUCCUCAACUCUACUCAACUAGUGUAGGAGUAAACAGAAACGUACAACGUUGUCCCCGUCACAUGAAAAAAAUAUCGUUUUGUAAGGAUGAAAUCUAUCUUCUUGAAUACCCCGUGUAGUCUACAUGACUGGUGAGGAAUCAGGGUUCUUGCCCUGAUUGUUAAAAAGAGUUCAAGACGACGACAUAACAUGAUCUUCAGACAAGUAGUUUGACGGAAUAGUUGGUAAACGAUAAUUGGGAGUUUGUAGAUUGAAAAAAAACUGUAGGAGUUUGUAGACUGUAUAAAGAAUCGUCGACGGAAGACUGGGAGGGGAAGUGGGAAAAGCCUAUCAAAACAAAACGUUUAUGGGAAAGGACUAUCGAUACAGGGUGGUAGACGUAGUUUUGUUCUCUUUCCCCGUCUACUAGACAACCGGUGUCUGUAACGAAGGACGUUAACUGGUAUAAUAACUAGUUCCCGGUCGUUUUUAUAUCUCUAAAGUUAAUUAAAAUGGCAGCUGGUUCAUUUGACGUUAAGCACUCGACCCUGCUACUUUCUUCUUCUUUAUACUAAAUUACCGUUUUUUAUUCAGUUGUUACAACAGACUACACGUACUCCUAAACCAUGUGCAAAUUGUAUUCUUAUACAUACGGAAGUUCGGAUUAAAAACACGGAACGUACAACACAAGAAAAUCAUAUAUAAAAAGAGGGCAACGUUGUGUGCCCGUAAAAACGAUCAUAUAGAUAGAUAGGGAUUACGGAUUAGGGAUUAUUAUUCCGUGCCUAACUGAGGCACCCAAGUGGCAGUGUUAUGCGAAGAGGAGCACUUAAAUACGAAAGUCAAAAAAGUGGAUAUAAUAAAAGAUGUAGGCUCCACCAUGAUAAAGUAGGUUUUUGCAAAUUAAGGUCUUAAAAUAGGCAAGUGCACACCCGGCGAACGGGACAGACGAAGCGACAGCGACCAGACUGAGGGAGCGAUAGUAGCCGGGCACAACAUUUUUUUACAAAGCGACAAAUGAGGAGAGUGGGUAGAGGAAGAAACUGGGUGUGUGCUUGUUCGAUCCCAACCUCGGCGGUGGGGAGGCCGGACGGGCGGCCUCGAGGCAGGCGGUGAGAAGAGGUAGAAGAGGGGGGUGGAGAUGAGGGGGUCCGGGUUGACACCACCUACUGUACGGGCGGCCGCGAGGUAUGAGGGGAGAAGAGGUAGAAAGGGGAGCGGUAGAGGGAGGAGUGAGGGACAAGGCGGGGGUGGGGAUGACGACGUCCGAGUUGGUACCACCAGUUGUGCCCCUACACUCGCACGUGCCCGCCGCAGCCACCUGUUCUCUACGCAUCUCCUAGAGUUCACGACGUCUGCGACCGCUCUAUAAGGUUUUAUUUCCUCCGCCGAUCUCCUUCGUAACCUCCGGUUCAAGUCGUCGUUGCCAGUCGGCAGCAGCCACCGGCCUACUGCUGUAGACAUUUCCUUACUCCCACCAGCCUCUGGCUGUUGUCCCCCGAUGACUUGAUCCGUUCGAUGGUAGUGAGGUAGUAGGGACCUCUAGCAAACCACUACAGACGACGUAGUGUAAUACCUGGCCUCCGCGCCUGACGGGGCGUGUUCCGUAACCGUCCUUAAGAACUACUAACUCCUUUAAUACCGUCCGUAAGAACUACCAUAUAAUUUAGAACCAAACUACCCAUGAAAACACUUCUUUGAUAACUCAGGGUCCGGACUACUCAUAAUGUGCCGUACUCUUUAAGUUCUUAACUUACUCUUCUCACUUCUGCUGAUCGUCCAACCCAAGAGAUUCCUUACGGGUAUGCUUGAGCGAUACCGCUCCUACUAAGUUACUUACCUGUACAGCUAGUACGAGUCGAUCAACGCGUCAAUCUUCAACCUUAGCUUGGGCUUUUCAAACACCUCAGGCACGACUGUUGGGAUGGUCGACCCUCCCUGUACUCUUCUUGAUAAAAAAGAGGACAACGUUGUGUGACCGGCUUCCAAUGUUCACACGUUUGGGCAUAACAACAAAUAUUUCUACCUUAAAUAAUCAGCAAAACCGAUAGCUUAACCACUACGUUAGGCAGGGGUGUAGACACAGAAGUGGUGAAGCAGGAGGGCGUGUUAGUCGUCUUGUCUCGUCGACGUCGCUAAACCGGUAAGUAGAGAAGCUCACUAAGUUUGGAUCCUUCGGACGAUGAACGCGUUCGUUGUACUGAGAAGGAAGUUCCUUUAGAUUAAUAGAUCCAUAUACCUUUCCUCCGUUUAAUACAUUGAUAAACCCGCAGUAGUACGAGACGAUACGUCUAACUCCUCUUUCUCAAUAAAAUAACACUACUACUAAUUAAAAAAGUAGAACACUAGAAGAAACGAGUUCAGUCGGAUGUAUACAAUAGACAAACACAGGGCCUCGCGCCGACGCCACUCCCCGACGUGCCGCACCUUCAACCCCUCCUCCUCGCGGUGCCGCUCCCACCUCCGCUCGUGCUACUCGCCGUCCUUCUCGGGCGGCACCGCGCGGUCCCCCUCCCACUGCAGGAAGGUUCUCGCUGGCGGUCUCCGACGGCUAGGCCUCGUCAACUACCGGUGGCGCCGGCGUGCCCGCUCCCUGCGUUCUUGCUACACCACUGGAAGAAACUACACACGGUAAAACAGAGAGAAGGAACGCAGAGUACGAAACUAAACCCACAAGAAACCAAACAAGUAUAAUAGUGAUGCAAGAGCUCACUGAUUAGUCACGACGAUCUUAUAAUCUUUCUACACGCAUGUCUAAAAACCGAACAAGAAGAAGUAACUACGUCCACACAUUCCUUAACCAAGCUUUGAAGCUUAUUACUAAAAGACAUGUUGGAUAGACGGACUCAGGGUACGUAACUAAAAACGUUGUAACGUUUCUAGAUAGAGACAAUUCAACUAUGGAGAAGUGUUAAAAUCAAUACUUACAAUAUGGUCACAGGAAAAAUCGUAGUUAAGUACUAAUAAUAGAGAAGGGUUAAACUUAAAAGUUAAAAGAGGACAAUAAAACAAACUACAAUCUAAAGGACAACUACUCUCUCCUUGUGCUUAUAAUCAACAAGUCAUGAAGUACGUUACUAUGUUGAUGUUAGACGUCGUAUGAUGAACCUGAACGUACAUCAGACUUUUACUAAGGGCCGGACAUAUAAACGGAUACCUCCAUGACAUAUGUACGACGCACGAAGGAGUAUAAAUUUAAUCUGUAGCCUACAAGUCAUAAAAGAUGUUUAACUAACGUCCGUACGUUCUAACAACUUCCCGUUUACAUGAGAUUCUUCGACUUACUAUUUGGUCCAAUGGUUGUAUAAAUCUCGAAGGAAAACCCUAAACACGUCCGGUACCAGACCUCCUGUACAGGCCAAGUGAUUGAGUUAAAGUUCCUUUGUCACCUUUCUGUCUUUUUCCUUUGGUGUACCUAAAUCUUUAAAGUCGUAACAUCUCGAGUCAACUUUUCCUUUUGCUCUAAAUAUUGUUAGUUGGUCUCACCACUAAGCUAAAAACUGUUAACCAUGAAACCAACACACCAGCUACUUCUGUACUCUAACUAAACCUACCCCGUCAUCCAAACGAGCCUCUCCUCCACUCUUCCUGCCUCUAUCUUCUUCUUGGAACUCUACUAUCACUAUAAUAACUGAGUUAUGAAAUAACCGAGAUGAAACACAGCUAGAAAGUCCACGUACUUAUCAUUAAACACGUUUUGAUGCGAAAGGGAACAGUAAACUAUUAACAAAAAGAAAUACCACGAGUACUGUAUAAAAAAAUAGAUGUGAAUGGAGG